GAGAGGGAGGUGCUUGUGCAUGAACAAGUAAAGUUGAUGUGACUGUAGGGCAUAUGCCACAGAGAUUCAGGAACACGCUGAAGAUCAGUCAGAGAGACUUUGUUUUCACAGAGUCUGAACUUUCCUCACAGUCUGGUCUCACUUGAAAAGCUCUGAAAAUACUCAAGAAGAUGAAAGACGUUUGGUGGCUGUCGCUGAUGCUGCUGUGGACAAUGCCUCUGUUAUCUUCAGGCAAUCAAUUAAUACGACUUAUAGGAGUGGUUGUUGGAGGAGGAAAAGUCGUUGGAGCAGCCAGAGGAGACGAAACCAAUGGAGCAUUUGCAGGAGGUAGUGGGGGAGGAGAGGGAAGAACAUAUUUCGAGGCACAUGCUGUAACACCUCUAGGACAACUCCUCGGAGCAGUUGUUAGAGCACACACACCUCUAGAUCAACUCCUCGGAGCAGCUGUUGGAGUUCUACAAGUACUCACACCAGCUAUUGGAACAUAUUUUGGAGCUACCACUGAUGCAUCAGCAAAGGGUAAAGGGUGCUGUAUCGGUGCAUCUGGAGUUUUUUAUUGUGGAUAUAUAUAAAGUACUAAAUAAAAUAUGAGUAUAAUAAAUACUAAAUACUCUGCACACAAGGGAUCUGAUCAGAUUGUAUAUUUGUUUUCAAUAAUAUACAUAGUAUUAUGUUAUGAUUGUUGAUAAAGGGCUAAUGAUUGAACCUGAUGGCCAAAGUGAAUUGGUGAAUUUUUUGGCCUUAUCAUGCAAUUGUUAUGUAUAAUGUAGAAUCUUCUAUCUUCGUCAAAAUGUGAGCUUCAGUCUACUACAGUACUAAUAGAAUGAACGAUUGAAUAAAUGUGUACUCCCUUACAGGCA